rnacentral:rRNA from 1 species
GACGAACGCUGGCGGCGUGCUUAACACAUGCAAGUCGAACGAUGAAGCGCCAGCUUGCUGGUGUGGAUUAGUGGCGAACGGGUGAGUAACACGUGAGUAACCUGCCCCCUACUCUGGGAUAAGCCUGGGAAACUGGGUCUAAUACUGGAUAUGACCAAUCACUGCAUGGUGUGUUGGUGGAAAGAUUUUUUGGUGGGGGAUGGACUCGCGGCCUAUCAGCUUGUUGGUGGGGUAAUGGCCUACCAAGGCGACGACGGGUAGCCGGCCUGAGAGGGCGACCGGCCACACUGGGACUGAGACACGGCCCAGACUCCUACGGGAGGCAGCAGUGGGGAAUAUUGCACAAUGGGCGAAAGCCUGAUGCAGCGACGCCGCGUGAGGGAUGACGGCCUUCGGGUUGUAAACCUCUUUCACCAGGGACGAAGCUAACGUGACGGUCCCUGGAGAAGAAGCACCGGCUAACUACGUG